rnacentral:lncRNA from 1 species
AAAUUUCUCAAUGAAAGAUAUUUUGCUUUUGUUGGAGAAAAAGUUACUUUAAAAAAUAGCAAAUCAAGCAUUGCUGGACUCUGAUGUUCAUAAAUUAAAACUGUAGCAUUCAAAGCUCUUCACUAACUUUCCUUUGCUUUCCCUCUAACUCUCUCACCUACCAUUUCUCUAUUCUAAGGCCGGACAGCCCCCUGACAAUAUGCACAAGCAAUGUUAGGUUUUAUUUCCAAGCCUCUUCUUAUACUGUAUUCCUCUUAGAACAUCCUCAUCUUCCCUUCUGUGUUUCCUAUUCAUAUACUUUCCAAUAAGAAACAUCCAGUUCAACAACUACCACUUCUAAACAGUUCAUAUUGAUCUCUUCUGACCUGAACUUUAUUGCCAGUAUUUGCUUUAUUUCAUUUAGCAAUUAAUCCCACAUUGCCUUGCAUUACUAUGUAGAUCUUUCAAGUCCUUUUGUCCUGUCUACCCACAAAAGACACAAGUCUGGGCCAGAGAUUUAGCUCAGUGAUGCUGCUGCCUGCCUCGCAAGCGCAAGGUCCUGAGUUAGAUCACCAGUACCAAAAAAAAAAGUCAAGUCCUGAAUUAUCAAAGAUGUAGCAUUUUGUGUUUAUUCACAUUAUCUUAUGUGUGAAUAUACAUAACAGAUGCUCUACAAGUACAGUAAUUAUUUUACAAUUGUAUAUCUUAGAACAUGUCCAAGGACUAGAACAUUUUUCAAUUUUGUUUAAAUUAAUUGAUUCAGUCUUUCAUCAACAAAAGUAGAUAUUAAAAAUAUAUUAGCACAAGUAAAUAAACAUUAUUUUAUAUUUGGACAGCAACUUACAUGUAACCAAGAUUUGAAUAUCUAACAUAAAAACAGAACUGUGGAUCAGUACUGAAUAGUAGAAGUCUUCUUGGGUACUAUAUUGGCAAGAACACUGGAUUGAGAUUUAGAAAGCAUAGUUUUAGUCCUGGAUACCUCACAGCAGGGAAACAACUCUGUGUGAUCUGAGUUUCAGUUAUAUAUUUCUAAAAGAGUGUUGACAUUAGUCAUUUUUGUCAUCCAUUCCACUUUCUCCCACUCCUGACCCCUAAAUUAUCUGAUUUGUCUUUAGGAGAAGGUACAGAUGUAAGAAAAAUAUAAGAAUUCCAAGAGGCAUUGAUGGAAAUCUUUCCCUCUUCCUAUAUUAGGCAGAAUAAUAACUCCACCAAGGUAGCCACAUGCUCUAGUCCCCACAAAUUGUGGACAUGUUCUGCUACAUAACAAAGAGGUUUUACAGUUGCAGAAGAAAUUAGAAUCAUUAACCAACUGACAUAAUAAGGAGAUUUAUCCAGGUGGGCUUACAUAAAUUAUAAGGGACCUUUCAACAUGGAAGAUGGGGCAGAAGUUUGUGGCAGAUGAUGCAGAGCAAAAAAAACCUUAGCCUCCAUUUCUGGUUCUGAAGCUGGAAGGGACUGGGAGUCAAAAAAGACAGUCAUUAGGUGGGGAAGAGAUUGUUUCCCCAGGGCUCAGAAGGAACUGGCCCGCCAACAUUUCAGCAUUAGCCCUCUAGCACCCAUUCUGGACUUGACCUCUACAAUGGUAAGAUAAUAAAUUUGGGGUGCUUAAAGUCCCUUACUCACCCAGUGCAUCGUAAGUUGUUACAACAGCAAUAGGAAACUAAUACAACUCCCACUGAACAAAAGAGAUUAAUAAAAGAAAAAACUGUAAACUUUUUCUAGGGAAGGAAUGUGAUGAUAAUAAAUCAACAUGACAUAUACAAACUAGCAACAGUCACUUUAGGGACUGUGAAAUCCUCAUUUGUUAAAAUGAAAGUAGAAUAACUCAGCCACUUAUAUACUUUACGAAGCACUUAUUUUCAUCUUCCUGGUCUCAGAAGACAGAUCGGUUUGGGCAUAAUAAAUAUUACAGAAUAGCAUUACCAACAUUUUUUUUCAUUGUCUGGGAGGGUUUUUUUGUUGUUUUUUUUCCCUAAACAUGAUUACUACAAAUAAGCCAUCCUGACUGUAGAAUCUAGUGCCUUCAGGAAUUUAGAAGAUAAUUAAAUUUAAAAGGAACAUUUAUGAUCAUUUAGCUUACUCCCUUCAUUUGAGAGAUAAAUUAUUGAACUCUAGAGAUAAAGAGACUUGACCAAAGUGACUCGGUUUUUAUUAUCCAAGUGGAAAGUGAAAUGCCACUCCCUCCUGAUCCUCCAGACGAGGGUCACUGGCAGAAGGUGAGAAGGACGAAAGGGAGGAUGAGAAGAGAGGGGAACCUGAAGAAGAGGGAGCAGCCACACAAAGGAGCUUGGAUUUACUCAGAAUGCAACAGGAAUCCAGGGAUAUGUUGUAUAUUUUUAAUGCAUAAAUUUAACAUAAAUUUAAUAACAUGAAUAUACAAAUUUAAUCUAGUAGAGAUACGAAAAUGAAAGUAGAGACCAGUCACAAGGUUAUUGCAAUAUUAGAGUGAGAGAUGAUGGCACAUGGAAGAGGGUGGUAGUCAAGGUGGCAAUGAGAAAUAGAUCAAUUCAGGAUCUACUCUGGGGUUACGAACGACAGGACUCAUUGUUAGGCUAGGGAUGGGUAAGGAAAAUAGUGAAAUCAGAUACUAUUCCAAGAGUGUGACUUAAUGUCGCCACAUCCUGAAGUGGGAAAAAUAAGGGGGAAAAUAAGAAUUCACUGUAUCUUUUAAGUUCAAAACACCAAUUAAACAUUAAUAGGUAAUUUCUUGAUUCGGUCCUUACAUGUCUACUUUUGCGUAGAGCUUUCUCCCAGGAAUAACAACACACACUUACUCUUCUUAUGCAGCUUUAAUUGAAGGAGGAACUAAGCAUGAGUGGUGUUGCAUAAGAGGAGUUCAAAGAUGUCUGCAAGGGAAGGCAGCAAAGGAUUCACCAUGAGACAGUGCUGCUAAAUGAUAUGAUUAAAGUCAUAUAGGAAAAUGACAAAUCAUUCAUCAAGAACCACAACCCGAAGUUACAGGGGUGAUAAAAUGGAGCUGAAAGCCAAAUAAUCCAGUCCCGGUCAUGCAGUUAACUACUCAAAUCCAGUCAUCUCGAGUGUGGUGUGUUCACACACCCUGCUUUCUCUUCUCCGCUGCUCUAUCUACCCGACUUGGUCAGCAGUCUCAUGCAUUACUAACUCUGUCUGGAGACAGCAGCCCAGGUGAAGUAUGCCUUCUAGAAAAGUGAGAAAUUACAGUGCCAAAGACACAGCCCUCUGAGGUGACUUAGAAUCAACUGGGCCGAGAUUCUGCACUUCUAGCAAGCUGCCUUGUGAUCCUAUCAUAUUGCUGCUGGUCCAUGGAUCCAAGCAGAGGAAGCUUAAGAAGACUGUUGUGGACAACAGUAGAUAAGAACUCAUCUUACUUUUCAAAUAAGGCCCUUUUUCUCACAGGUUCUGCGGAAGAAGAAACAAUCAGAGAGAUAACUCUGUGAGUUUUCACAAUAAAUGCAAUCAGCAGCACAAUAAAUUAUACAUUUUCAUCAUCCCUAGUAUACCUCCAUGUCCUUUGUGGCCAACCAGUGAGACCCCUUGAUCUGUUUUCUGCAGAAUGUCAUAUAAAAGAAAUCACAGCAUUUCAAUGCAGUCUUUUGAUAAUGGUUUCUUUCAUUAACUACAGCAUUAAAGCUUUAUUCUUGGUUUAUGUAUUAUUAUCACUUCCUUUUUUCACUGAGUUGUAUUUGCUUAUAUUGAUAUAUCACAUCUUGCUUAUCUAUUCCAUAAUUGAGAGAUUUUUUUUAUUUUGGUUAAUCUAAAAAUGGUAAAAAUGCAUGUAUAAAUUUUUGUGUGAAUGUAGGCUGUAUUUCACUUGACUAACAAGUGAAAUAAAAAUAACAAACAAUGAGAUUGCUGGGUUGUACGUCAAAUGUAUGUUUAUAAGAAACUAUCAAAGUGUUUUCCAUAGUUCUUUUCUUACAGUCUCACCAGAGUUCCAGGUUUAUUUUUGUAGUUUACUCACUCUCUCAAUGUCAUAAAUUAAUUUGCCUAUUCUUGAACAUCAAAUAAUGGAAUUAUUUAUGUGGCUUCUUUUGCUUAAUAUAAAGUUUGUAGAAUUCAUUCAUGUUAUUCCAUGUAAUAAGAGUUUAUUCUUUUUUGCUGAUGAAUAGUAUUCUGUAAUAUGAAUACAAACCUGUUUUGUUUAUUCAUUCAUUUGUUGUUGGACAUUUGGGUUGUAAGAAACAGCAGGGAAGUCACAAUAGUUUUGUGGUGUGUGUGUGUGUGUGUGUGUGUGUUGGUUAAUCAGCAGUUUCCACAAUAAAGAUAGGCUUAAAAUAAGUAAAUACUCUAUAAAGUAGAUGGUUAUUUUUCCAGCUAAAAGCAGGAAGAAGUUUUUCUUAUAAAACAGAGGAUUUGAGGUAGAAUUACUUUUUUUUUUUUUUUUUUUUUUGGUGGUACCAGGG